GGCUCAAAAUAUGCUGGUUAUGUGAAUACAGUCCAUCUGUGCAGCACGAUGGGUCCAUCAUUCCCGGUCCAUCAUUCCCUGUUACAAUACAGUCGUUAUCGAUUGCAGCGGAUCGCCAUGCAAGGAAAUAUGUUCAAUGAUAGUAUCUCAUUAGAUCCAAAUUUAACUUGAUACUCCCUUAGUAGAUCCAAUUUUAACUUGGUAUUUUGUUGUACUCUUUUGUUUAGAUUUCUUGAUUUUCUCCAUUUUAGAGAGGGAGAUUUUUCCAAGUUAGUUUAUUUCUGCCCUUGACUGUAAUUAUCUUUACCCUCUCUUCUUCAAACCAACUAACUCUAAAACUCAAGUUGUCUCACAUUUUUGUUUUUGUCACAGAAAUAAGCAAGUCUUCUGCUUUAUGUGAUAAUGACUUGGUUUUUCGUGAAUCCUAGUUUUGGUCAUUUUCUACGCCCUCUGUUUAUAUCAAAUCAAUGAAUGCA